UGGGGAAUUUUCCGCAAUGGGCGCAAGCCUGACGGAGCAAUACCGCGUGAGGGAGGAAGGCUUUUGGGUUGUAAACCUCUUUUCUCAGGGAAGAAGCUCUGACGGUACCUGAGGAAUCAGCAUCGGCUAACUCCGUGCCAGCAGCCGCGGUAAUACGGAGGAUGCAAGCGUUAAUCGGAAUUACUGGGCGUAAAGCGCGCGUAGGCGGUUUGUUUAGUCAGCUGUGAAAGCCCCGGGCUCAACCUGGGAAUGGCAGUUGAUACUGGCAGACUGGAAUGCGGGAGAGGGAGGUAGAAUUCCAUGUGUAGCGGUGAAAUGCGUAGAUAUAUGGAGGAAUACCAGUGGCGAAGGCGGCCUCCUGGCCUGACAUUGACGCUGAGGUGCGAAAGCGUGGGGAGCAAACAGGAUUAGAUACCCCUGUAGUCC
rnacentral:rRNA from 1 species